UCCUCCUCGCCUUGCCUUUCUCUCUCUCUCUCUCCUCCGCUCUGGCUUCAGCCCUCAUGGGCCGCCCACCCGCCGCCCUCCCCUCACGCCCUUGUCGCCGAGGGGUCUGGAGAGACCGCGUCCGCCCCAGGCCUCUCCUCUGCCUCCCGCGUGCCGGGCUGUGACUAACUCAUCGCAGCAGCAGGCUUUCCCUUUGAGUUGCCUUGGCCUCCGUCUCUGUCCCUCUCUGUCUGUCUCUCUCCUGCCCCCACCCUCCCUCCGCCCCCUGGCUCCCCAUGUCCCCCGGCCCCCGCGGUGCAGCGGGCCGGUGUGGGGCCUUGCUAUAUGGCCUGUCCUUGGGGCCCAGCGAGCUGCGAACCCUGGCUGCGGGCAGCCCCUCGGAGCGGCGCUGGCGACAGAGCAGCCUCCCCCGAGGCCGAUGGACAGGGGGCGCCCCGGCCGCGGGGCCAUGGCUGGCCGCUGGCUCACCGCGUGCUUUCUGCCCUCGCCAGGUGCCGACACCAGCGCCGAGCCCAUGAUCCUGGAACAGUACGUGGUGGUGUCCAACUAUAAGAAGCAGGAGAACUCGGAGCUGAGCCUCCAGGCCGGGGAGGUGGUGGAUGUCAUCGAGAAGAACGAAAGCGGAUGGUGGUUCGUGAGCACCUCUGAGGAGCAGGGCUGGGUCCCUGCCACCUACCUGGAGGCCCAGAAUGGUACUCGGGACGAUUCAGACAUCAACACCUCCAAGAGCGGGGAAGUGUCCAAGAGACGCAAGGCCCAUCUGCGGCGCCUGGAUCGCCGGUGGACCCUGGGCGGGAUGGUCAACAGGCAGCACAGCCGAGAGGAGAAGUAUGUCACUGUGCAGCCUUACACCAGCCAAAGCAAGGACGAGAUUGGCUUUGAGAAGGGCGUCACCGUGGAGGUGAUCAGGAAGAACUUGGAGGGCUGGUGGUACAUCAGGUACCUGGGCAAAGAAGGCUGGGCACCAGCCUCCUACCUGAAGAAAGCCAAGGAUGACCUGCCAGCUCGGAAGAAGAAUCUGGCGGGCCCAGUGGAGAUCAUUGGGAACAUCAUGGAGAUCAGCAACCUGUUGAACAAGAAGACAUCAGGGGACAAAGAGACGCCCCCAGCCGAAGGCGAGGGCCCAGAGGCCCCCAUUGCCAAGAAGGAGAUCAGCCUGCCCAUCCUCUGCAACGCCUCCAACGGCAGCGCCCUGGGGAUCCCCGAGAGGACCGUCUCCAAGCUGGCCCAGGGCUCCCCAGCUGUGGCCAGGAUUGCCCCUCAGCGGGCCCAGAUCAGCUCCCCCAACCUAAGGACAAGGCCUCCACCUCGCAGAGAAUCCAGCCUGGGGUUCCAGCUGCCGAAGCCACCAGAGCCCCCUUCUGUUGAGGUGGAGUACUACACCAUUGCCGAAUUCCAGUCCUGCAUUUCUGACGGGAUCAGCUUUCGGGGUGGACAGAAGGCAGAGGUCAUCGACAAAAACUCGGGCGGCUGGUGGUACGUGCAGAUCGGUGAGAAGGAGGGCUGGGCCCCCGCGUCCUACAUCGAUAAGCGCAAGAAGCCCAACCUGAGCCGCCGCACGAGCACCCUGACCCGGCCCAAGGUCCCCCCACCGGCGCCCCCCAGCAAGCCCAAGGAGGCUGAGGAGGGUCCGGCAGGCACCGCCGAGACCCAGGACUCCCCGCUGAAGCUCAAGUACGAAGAGCCUGAGUAUGACAUCCCUGCCUUUGGCUUCGACUCGGAGCCAGAGCUGAGUGAGGAGCCCACGGAGGACAGAGGCUCGGGGGACAAGCGGCUGGCCCAGCCCCACAGGCCCUCGCCGGCCUCCUCCCUGCAGCGGGCCCGCUUCAAGGUGGGCGGGUCCUCCGAGGACGUGGCCCUGGAAGAGGAGACCAUCUAUGAGAACGAGGGCUUCCGGCCCUGUGCAGAGGACACCCUGUCAGCCAGACGGUCCUCCCGGGACAGUGACUCCCCAGGAGGCUCCCCACUGUCCCUUGCCAGGAAAAACUCCCCCAAAUCAGACUCCCCCAAAUCGUCCUCGCUCCUAAAGCUCAAGGCAGAGAAAAACGCCCAGGCGGAACUGGGGAAGAACCACUCCUCGGCCUCCUUCUCCUCGUCCAUCACCAUCAACACCACCUGCUCCUCCUCCUCCUCCUCCUCCUCUUCCUCCCUGUCCAAGCCCAGCAGCGACCUGAAGCCCCGUUCUGCCUCGGACGCAGGCAUCCGCGGCACCCCCAAGGUCGGAGCGAAGAAGGACGCUGACCUGAAGGCCGGGCUGACCUCCUGUGCUCGGGCCAAGCCAUCUGUCCGGCCCAAGCCAUUCCUGAACAGAGCGGAGUCCCAGAGUCAAGAGAAGAUGGACAUCAGCACUUUACGGCGCCAGCUGAGACCCACAGGCCAGCUCCGGGGAGGCCUCAAGGGCUCCAAGAGUGAGGACUCCGAGCUGCCCCCCCAGACAGCCUCCGAGGGUCCCAACGAGGGGUCCAGGAGAGGCUCAGCCGACCUCAUCACCCUCCCAGCUGCCACACCCCCCUGUCCCACCAAGAAGGGGCGGGAAGGGCAGGCCACCUCCUACAUGACGUGUAGUGCCUACCAGAAGGUCCAGGACUCGGAGAUCAGUUUCCCCGCUGGCGUGGAGGUGCAGGUGCUCGAGAAGUUGGAAAGCGGCUGGUGGUAUGUGAGGUUUGGGGAGUUGGAGGGCUGGGCCCCUUCCCACUACUUGGUGCUGGGUGAGAAUGAGCCACCUGACCCCUCUGGCAAAGAGCCGGACGCCGUGACCGCCAAGAGCAAGCAGAAGGAGGGCAAGUCGGACAGCCUGGAGAAGAUCGAGAAGCGGGUCCAAGCGCUGAAUACCGUCAACCAGAGCAAGAGGGCCACGCCGCCCAUCCCCUCCAAGCCUCCCGGGGGCUUCAGCAAGACCGCGGGUGCUGGGGUGGUGAAGAUGAGGAAUGGGGUUCGGCAGGUGGCGGUGAGGCCCCAGUCAGUGUUCGUGUCCCCACCACCCAAGGACAACAACCUGUCCUGCGCCCUCCGGAGGAACGAGUCGCUCACAGCCACCGACAGCCUCCGAGGCGUCCGCCGUAACUCCUCCUUCAGCACCGCCCGCUCGGCGGCUGCAGAGGCCAAGGGCCGCCUGGCCGAGCGGGCCGCCAGCCAGGGCUCAGACAGCCCUCUGCUGCCCACGCAGCGCAACGGUAUCCCCGUGUCCCCCGUGCGCCCCAAGCCUAUCGAGAAGUCCCAGUUCAUCCACAACAACCUCAAAGAUGUGUAUGUGUCCAUCGCGGACUACGAGGGGGACGAGGAGACGGCGGGCUUCCAGGAGGGUGUGUCCAUGGAGGUCCUGGAGAGGAACCCCAAUGGCUGGUGGUACUGCCAGAUCCUGGACGGGGUGAAGCCCUUCAAAGGCUGGGUGCCCUCCAACUACCUGGAGAAAAAGAACUAACAGGGCACGGGUCCUUCCAGCCUGGGUGUGGAUGAGUGGUGAGAUGAAGACAAUAGGGAGAGGGGAGGGGUGGGGGGUGGGGGGAGGACAACAUUAAACCCUGCAGAAGGUGUGACCUCAAGGACACUCCCCUCCAGACUGUCCCUGGCUGGAAGGGAGGGUCUGGUGGGGGGCCACCUUGAGCAGGAGGCCUGAGACCAAAGGUGAGACAGCUGAGCCCCAUGUGUGCCCCUUGGUGACUUCACUGAUGGGCUCAGCACCAUCUGGGACAGGCCAGUGGGAAGUCCCAGUCGUGCCUUGGCUGCAAAUCUGGAAAGGAUGUGGUCCUAGAGGCCUCCAUGCCCUGCCCCAGCCUAGCCCGGUUCCAGUUGCUGGCAGCUUGUUGCCAGGGGUGGGCCCGGGUAUCAUCCUCACCGUAACGGCGAAUUGUGCUGGUCUCCCGGGGACUGCCGCCGCCCGGCACGGGUGGUGUGGUAGAAGACACCUCUGGCUUUGGGGCUUGGAGGCCUCUCCUGUGAGCUCAGCCUGUCCCUGGCCAGGCCACUGUCCGUGUCUGUUAGUUGCAGAAAAAGCAGUUCCCCAGGUGCCAGCAAGGACCGCCUUGCCCGGGCGCCCGUGGAGACCCACCAGCCCGAUUUACGGAGGAUGGGCAGAGCCGGGGGUCUCAGUCUGCACAGACUUUAUUUUGGAUAUUUCUGGGUGGGCAGUUUCUUUGCAUGUUGCGGGAGAGGUUUAUUGAUUUGGGGCUUCUUGGUUGGGCCCUGGGUUUUGGUCUUAUUUUAGGGGUUGUUUGGGGGCCUCAGGACGGUCAGCCUCACAGGGGACGGGAGGGGGGUGGGUGGGCUUUUCUGUUAGACUCUUGUGGGAGGUUGGUUGUUGUUUGUGUUUCACAUGUUCCCCUCCACAAGCUGGAGUCGUUUCGUUUGGUUUCCACUGUGUGGACAGUGCCUGAGGGGUUGGGGGCGGAGAAGCCCCCCACUCCCAGACCGCGAGGCACCCACCUUCUGGUGCGAGCCCAGCCCAGGAGGGAGGAGGGUCUCGUUCAGGAGCGAAGGCGGCUCUCGGGCUGCUGGGUGACCGCCAUUCUGUGUACAGUCUCCCUCCUGGGCAGGACCGAAAGCCUGAGGGGACCCCCAACUGGGCCCCCAGGCCAGACUGGAGCAAACACCACCAGCCUGCCGGCGAUGCCACAGGGACCAAGGAGGUGGAGGACCCCAGACCAGGAGCUGACCUGGUCAUUCCGAGGGGCAGUGCCCCCGUGAAAAGAGAAGCGAGAGAAUAAAGUCCCUGUCGACUUCGGGUCUUUCGAUCAUUGACAUUUCAGAGGGGGCCCUCCAGAAGCCAGCGGCUUCCCGAGGACUCACCCUUUGCUGGGAGUGGAUUUCCACACGUGCCUUUGACUUCGGACAGGUCAGGCUUCACAGCCGCCGAUUCAGCUGCCAGAAUCCUGGACAAGGGUUGGUGUUCUCUCUCUCCACCUGCUUCCCACCCAGGACGGAGAUGUUGCCUGAAGGUGAGCAUGGGACCCAGGUCUUGUGCCUUCCGUACCCCAUGCGCCCCCUCCUGACCGUCCUCCCUCCUGUACACUGAAGCCUGGCAGCUAUAGCAAACUGCUCCUGUUCUCUGUUAAAGGGCCGUGGUGAGAUUUUGUUUCCUUUUGUUUUGUUUGUGAGUUUGUUUAAAAUGGAAAUUAGUUAUUUUCUUCUGCUGGACAGUAUUAAAUAGAGCAGGAUGUUGAGUUAAUCUGCUAGAUUGCAGUACUAAUGGUAGUGGUUUAGUGUCUUCAUAUUAAUAUUAUUUGGACUUAUUUGAACAAUAAUGAUAAAGAAGUGGUUCAUUAUUUUUUAAUUAAUGCACUUUAAUAAGGUGGAAUGGAAAGAAACCCAGAGAGCAAAGUGCAUUACUUAAAGAUGCAGUAUAUACUUUUCUCAUUUUUAAGCAGCACAUAUUUAUUGAAAGAAAAAAAGUAAUUUAUGAUUAUUUAAAAUAAAAUUUAAAAGUAGAGUGACUGUCGGGUUAAAGGACCUUCCACGUAGCUAUCUUCCAGGGGGAGGGCCCCAGCGGCCUCACUCCUCAGAUGUCUGCACUGAGCCAGUUCAAUCACAACGCGACAGCCAGGCCAGGAAGGAGUGCAGGACGCAUCUGCCAAGCACAGAGCAUCUCAGUUGGACUGGACCACAGUGCUCCCCAGAGCCUGUCUUCCCCUGCCCUUCCUCACGGUCUUUACUGCCCUGUGGGGCUCUCUACCACCACCAGGGCCCACAUUCCCCUGCCCCUCAAGGGUCCCCCUCUAUCCUUGAUCCCCAGUGCUCUAAGUGAUGGUCAUUAAAAGUGACCUCAAAGGUCACUCCAUCCCCUCCCCUCCUGUUAUUGCAGCCCAAGGACAGGAAAUGACUCCCAAAAUCACACGGCCAAGUUUACUGGCAGACCUCCCCACGGCAUCCCUCCUGGCACUCCUACCCAUCCCCCUUCGAGCUUAUUGCGUGGUCAUCAUGUUUACAUUGGGACAUCCAGCCCCGAGGAUGGCUGGGAGUUGCUCAGGCAUCCAGGGAAAGUGGGGAAUGCUGCCACCUGGUGACAGCAUGGAGAUUUGGGCAGUGAACAGGGAUUGCCAUGUCCCAUCUUUGCCCCUUGCCCCUCACCACCACCCCCUUAAUUCACAGCACAGCACAAACCCUGCAAACCGAAAGAGAAUAUUAAUACUUGAAGCAAAAAAGGGUGCAUGCCAGUCCCUCUCAGACAUGGCUAGGCGAUGCCAGGCCUUGUGCCCCUGGACCCCUAGCCCUACCCAGGGCAAGAGGGCCUUUCCCUAGAGCUACUGAGCUGCUUUGUGAUGUUGGAGGGUACUGCUGGCAGCAGGUGGAGGAGGGAGGGGCCUGGGGCUCUGACCCAUCUGGAGGAAAACCAGAUCGGCCUAAAAAAAAGGAAAAAGAAAAAUGAAAUCUCAGCAGUGUCCAAACCUAGUUUUCCAUUAGUUACGAUUGAAAAUGUGAAAUGACAUUGUGUGGCUGUAUACUGCAACUUUAAUCAUAAUGAGCCCUUCUGAGGUCAUUAUUGAGGUUUAUAUAAUGCCUGAAGAUGCAUCAUUGGUGCUUUUUCUUUGUGGAAAGACUUUUUCUUUUAUUACAAGGGGGAAAAAAUGUCUUCAUCUCUCUCCCACUUUAUAACAGCGGGCCUGGCUGGGCUUCCUGGCCCUGCCAUGCCGUUUCCACUAGGCCAAGGGACCACAGGGGCAGCAAGAGGGAGCAGGAAGGGGUGACCCUGAACAGCAAGUAUGCCAUCUGCUCCUACCUGUGGCCGGGCCCUGCCUUGCCAGCCCUCGGCCCCAUCCACCCCGAGCCUGGCCCCAACAGCUUCUCUUUGUUCCCCCUCUCUUCUCCAUCUUGACGAAGGCAUUAUAUAGAAUCAUUUUAAUCACUUUCAGAUGUUAGAGCAGCAUAUUUUACUGGCAUUUAUCCAUCGCUUUCCUCAGCAAGGCAUGUUACUACUCUUAUCAUCUAAGGAAAAAAAGACAAGGGAAUUUCGGCCAAGCAUUAUUUUCAUAUUACUAGUAUUUGCAGAGUAGAUGUAGAACUAUUUAAGUUUAGACCUUGGUUUGGUAGUUUAUUUUUUUUUUAAGGGAAAAAAGAUAAGGUAACCCCUACUUUUUUUGUUUUUGUAUUUAACUAAUAUAUUAUUUCUUUAAGGUUACUCACUUCCCCUAUUCCCUUCAAAUACUUUGCAUUCUCAUUCGAAAAUGAAAACAACCUGAGAGACAGGAUACGUGCAAUAUUAUCAAGAGGGAUGCCAGGGCUUGUUGGGAUGGUGGCGGGAGACCCGGUGGCCCAGUCUGUCGACAGAGGGAGGCGGGGCUGGCUGGGAGACGUGGGAGCUGUGGAGCAGACAGGUGGUCCAGGUUAUUGAUCUUCUCCCCUCCUUGCCUGCCCCCCUCCUGGCAGGGUGUCAGGGGUCCCCGCCAGAGGGCAGCCCCUUUUCCUGUUGGGUGUCAUCCACCCAGAAGAAAGGGAUUCAGGGAAGUAGCAUGGGGCUCUUGACCUCCCGCGGCCCCCGCCCUCAGAGCAGAGCAAGGACAUCCAGGAACUGUUCCUUGUUUUCAUUUCCGUUGUUUCCAGCCAGCUGCUCAGAAAGACCUGUCCUAAAAGUCACUCAGCAGCCCUCGCUCACCCCAGUCUCCUGAUGUUUGGGCCAUGAUCCUUUUGAUGUAUGUGUGAGUCUUUCUAAAACUAUGUAACCUCAGUUCAGUUUAUGGGCAGGAACCCUACAUGUAACCAAAUCCUUUUUUGGGGGAGGUGGGUGCCUUCAGCCCUGCCAUAUCCCAGUGAGACACCAAUUUCCACAAGCCUGCAGCUGGGCCUGGUGCUAACCUGGGCCACCCAUUCAUCUCAGUGACUUCAGCUGAGGAGUGAGCCCUGCCUCUGCUCAACACCCCAACGGUCAGUGCCCAGAGGGUCUCGGAGAAGCAGCUGAGGGGCCUACCCAGGUCUCUGCGGACAGAACUGCCCACAACAGGUACCAAAGCGGCGGCCUCCUAAGUGGGCACAGGCAGAGGAAGCAGCAGGGUGGGAAGUCUCUGGGUUCAAGCCCUUGGAGCUCGGCUCCUCGGCUCCAGGGACGGCCUUGCUGGCGUGUCCCCUCCACCUCCAGUACUGUAUGCUUGCUGCUCCAACCCCUGUUUGGUGCAUUUCUGUACAAAUAUGGAUCUAUGUGCCAAGAGGGACUGUGCCCCCCUGUGUGGGUCUCUCCCCUUGAGCAUCUACAUCUAUGUCCAACCUUUGAAAAUCUUGACGCAGAGCUCUCUGGAAAAGAGAACCAUCCACAUAACUAAAGAAUUAAGAUUCCCUCACUUUUUUGAGGGCUGUGUGUUGAGAAAGUGUGUGCGUGCGUGCGUGUGUGCGUGCAUGUGUGUAACUUCCCACUGUUACGAAGUAGAAUGGGGUUAGAGAAAACUAGCGGGCACGCUGUCUCCAUUGUACAGUCCUUGGCAUUGGGCAGGCCCCACGGGACUCGCAGCUUCUGGCAAGUGUGUGUGUUAUUCACACACGUAAUUCUGGCUGGAGAGUGCAAUGUGUCUUUUUAUUUUUUUGUAAUUAUUUUAUUAAGUAUUUAGUUGGAAACUUCACACUGGCAUUAACAGAUCUAGCAGAAGCAGCCUAGGCCAUCGUCCCAGGCUCCCAAAUAAAGUUGUGGAAAAGGGAUGCCGCUGAGUGCGCUACGCGGCAGGCCAACUCCCAGCCAUUGCCAUGCAUGUCAUCACCGUGGGAUGAUGGCCCUCAGCUCUUGUUUCUGAGGAUGGUCAGGGCGAGAACUUGCUCACGGUGAGCUCAGCAGACCUGCACGUGCAUGUCCAUCAGCACCUGCCUAGACCUCGGGCCCUGUCACUUGAUGGGACGAGUGUGAAGGGUUCCCCCUUGACCUUACUGAGAUUUCUGCCAAAAUCAUGAUCCCUGUUUGGGGCAGCCUCUGUGGUUCUCAUGCUCCGUGACCAGAGAAGGAUGGGGUCAGUGACCUAUUGCCUUAUUUCAGGAAAAGCAGCCCCACUGAUGUGAGCUUCCCUCCUGUUUUGUCCUGUGCACCUGGGCUCUCAGACCAGAAGUUGGGCACCUUGGUGCUUACAGACUGGGCAGGCCUGGUCCCAACCUGCCUAUGAGGUUGAGAUUGCCAUGCAUCUUCCUGACCCAUUCCUGCCUUUCUAAUCUUGAGUUUGCACUUGACCUUGACAAUCACCCACCCCAGUCCUAGAACUUAGUGGCCUUAGAGAGUGGGUCCCUGCGCUAAAGGUCCCUUCUUUGCACCCCCCAAGUUUCAUCCUGGCUAAUGGGGCUGGACUUCAGGAGGCGAGAGAGAGAGGAAAGAAUUGUUUUAAAGCAAAAGGAUGGAUCGAGCAUGUUGGAGACGAGCAAGAGGCAUGUCGGCAAGAUGAGUAUGUGCACGUGUGGCCUGUUUGGGUGUCUGGGACUGACCGUCCCUUCUCUGGGAAGGUGGCUUCCAGAAGAGGGUGUCUAGGCAGAAAGGGAAAAGUGUGAGAAGGCUGAGAGAGGGUUUGGAGUCUUGUCUUUAUUAAAAAGAAGGAAGAAGUUGAUUCUAAGUGUUUCAGGAAGAAGAGAGCAGGUAAGGAGGGAAUUUAGUGAUUCAACACACAAGGGUCCAGCCAGAUCAGGUUGGAAAUAAGGCUGGAGGAGGAGAAGCCGGCCAGAGGAAACGCUACUUGCUGUGCCACAAGCUGGGUCCCCAGCAAGUUCUUAAUGAACGGUCACUGAUUUACUCAGUGGAGAGAGUAAGUCACCAGCAACAACUUGUAUUUUGAGUUUGGAGGCCCUGGCUCCAGAAUAUUCAUCCACCUCCCAGGUUCCCAGCUGGUUUUGCCCACCUCUUUUUGUCUAAUACACAGCUAACCUCUCAAAUUGUUUAAAUCAAAGACUAGAGACCAAAAGGGUCAUGUAGUUAGAGACCCGCCACCCCCAAAUUGGAACCUCAGGGUCCAGAUACCAUCAAGCUCAUCUGGGAGGAAGGCAACCUUGUUUGUUCUUCUCAAGUGUCUCUGAUGAUGCCUGUGGUUAUGCAGUUGGCUGAGCCUGCCCACUGGUGUGACUUAGAAGACGGGGUGGGGGGGUUGUACAGUGCAGACUCAUCCAUGGAUAUGCCCUUUCGUGUUUAGUGGCCUAUGACCAAGACACACUGCUCUUGUGUUUAUUUCAGAGGAAGAAGGGCAAACAGCCACCAUUCUUGAAUCUGCAUCUUGUUCUCUGCAACAGGUUUUCUUUACCUGCAGGACACAGGAUGGGAAAGGGUUUCGCUGCUAGUCACUGAGAGGUUCGCAGGAAGGUGACCGAGUGAUGCACACGUGAGUGGCAGGUCCCUGCAGUGUGGGUUUGUGGACCGCGUGGUUGCAUGGGAGCUGGAUGCCUCGGCUCCAGAACUUUGGGGGAUUUCUCGUGGUGUCCGCUUAACCCCCCUCCCUCCCAGAUCCUAGUGGGCUCUGUGGGGGUCACGUUGUUUCCUCUUCCGCCCUCAGCAGAGAAACUGAAGGAAAGGACAUUAAAUUGAAUGCAGUCCAUUUGAGCACUAAAAAAUUUCCAGGAUCAAUGGUGGUGCUAAACUAUCUCCAUGUUUCUAUUAUUUUUAAUAGUGGGGUUUUUUUUAUUAUUAUUGUUCUCAUCACAAAAAUGCAGUGUCCUUGGGGAAGGGAUCCAGCCUCCUGGCCUGCACCUUUCCAGGUGUCCUUUAUCAUUUGGACGGGACUCUUUGGUCUGCAGAAAUACUAUGACUUGGCAUGCUUCUAGACUAAUCACCUCUUCAUUCUCCUUAAUGCCAGAAAACCCGUCCAGCUGAAUGGCAAAGCAUCCCCCAUGCAGAAUGAACUACAGGAUCCAUGUCCUCUGGGGACAGACGGGGUUGGGGAGGAGAAGCCUCCAACCCUCCCAACUUUUGCUGAACUCUAAUAAACAGGGCUGGGCCAUCCUGAUGUA